rnacentral:rRNA from 1 species
AUGCUUUCAAACAACAACUGUGCUUUCCCUACAAAUAAACAGGUAACAGAUCAGUUAUAUUCUACAUCUGAUCUUACCCUCUCUUUUUUGAAGAAAACCAUGUUUCUUCUCUCUGAACCAAAACUUCAUAUAAUUACUUGUCGUGGUAAUAUCAUGUCAGAUGCCAGGGGGUGGCUUAUUAUGGAUGGGGCCAGAAGUGCGUCGUCGGGUCCUGGAAGCGGGAGUGAGCACAAGCUCGGACGGACACGAGAUGUACCCAGGUUCAGGGCUCUCCUAAGAGAUGAAACCCCUACUCCUACUCUGCGGGGUCUCCGCAUGAUCACUAUAUCACGAGGAAUACAAUGGUGCUCCUGGAGCUGUUUGGCUAGAGGAGGAAGAAGGGUAAGGCUAGCUCUCUUCUCUCCCUAG